rfam:Streptomyces autolyticus strain CGMCC0516, complete genome.
CUUCACCGAGCCCAGCCACAACGGCCGGUCCGCGGGACGGUCCCGGCCGUAGGUGGCCAGCAGGGCCCGCGCCUC